rnacentral:rRNA from 1 species
CCUACGGGGGGCUGCAGUGAGGAAUAUUGCGCAAUGGAGGCAACUCUGACGCAGCCAUGCCGCGUGCAGGAAGAAGGCGCUACGCGUUGUAAACUGCUUUUAACCGGGAAGAAACCCCAGGACGUGUCCUGGGUUGACGGUACCGGAGGAAUAAGCACCGGCUAACUUCGUGCCAGCAGCCGCGGUAAUACGAAGGGUGCAAGCGUUAUCCGGAUUCAUUGGGUUUAAAGGGUGCGUAGGUGGGGCGAUAAGUCAGUGGUGAAAUCUUGCGGCUUAACCGUAAAAUUGCCAUUGAUACUGUCGCUCUUGAGUACGCUUGACGUGGGCGGAAUGUGCCGUGUAGCGGUGAAAUGCUUAGAUAUGGCACAGAACACCGAUAGUGAAGACAGCUCACGAAGGCGAAACUGACACUGAGGCACGAAAGCGUGGGGAUCGAACAGGAUUAGAUACCCCUGUAGUC